rnacentral:rRNA from 1 species
GAUGAACGCUGGCGGCGUGCUUAACACAUGCAAGUCGAACGGUGAAGGCGGAGCUUGCUCUGCUGGAUCAGUGGCGAACGGGUGAGUAACACGUGAGCAAUCUGCCCCUGACUCUGGGAUAAGCGCUGGAAACGGCGUCUAAUACUGGAUACGAGCUGCGAAGGCAUCUUCAGCAGCUGGAAAGAACUUCGGUCAGGGAUGAGCUCGCGGCCUAUCAGCUUGUUGGUGAGGUAACGGCUCACCAAGGCGUCGACGGGUAGCCGGCCUGAGAGGGUGACCGGCCACAAUGGGACUGAGGAAAGGGCCAGACUCCUACGGGAGGCAGCAGUGGGGAAUAUUGCACAAUGGGCGAAAGCCUGAUGCAGCAACGCCGCGUGAGGGACGACGGCCUUCGGGUUGUAAACCUCUUUUAGCAGGGAAGAAGCGAAAGUGACGGUACCUGCAGAAAAAGCGCCGGCUAACUACGUG